rnacentral:rRNA from 1 species
AACGAACGCUGGCGGCAGGCCUAACACAUGCAAGUCGAACGCCCUAGCAAUAGGGAGUGGCAGACGGGUGAGUAACACGUGGGAACCUUCCCUAUAGUACGGAAUAUACCAGGGAAACUUGGAGCAAUACCGUAUACGCCCGAGAGGGGAAAGAUUUAUCGCUAUAGGAUGGGCCCGCGUAGGAUUAGCUAGUUGGUGAGGUAAUGGCUCACCAAGGCGACGAUCCUUAGCUGGUUUGAGAGAACGACCAGCCACACUGGGACUGAGACACGGCCCAGACUCCUACGGGAGGCAGCAGUGGGGAAUAUUGGACAAUGGGCGCAAGCCUGAUCCAGCCAUGCCGCGUGAGUGAUGAAGGCCUUAGGGUUGUAAAGCUCUUUUGCCGGGGACGAUAAUGACGGUACCGGAGAAUAGUCCCGGCUAACUUCGUGCCAGCCGCCGC